rnacentral:rRNA from 1 species
GACGAACGCUGGCGGCGUGCUUAACACAUGCAAGUCGAACGGAAAGGCCCUGCUUUUGUGGGGUGCUCGAGUGGCGAACGGGUGAGUAACACGUGAGUAACCUGCCCUUGACUUUGGGAUAACUUCAGGAAACUGGGGCUAAUACCGGAUAGGAGCUCCUGCUGCAUGGUGGGGGUUGGAAAGUUUCGGCGGUUGGGGAUGGACUCGCGGCUUAUCAGCUUGUUGGUGGGGUAGUGGCUUACCAAGGCUUUGACGGGUAGCCGGCCUGAGAGGGUGACCGGCCACAUUGGGACUGAGAUACGGCCCAGACUCCUACGGGAGGCAGCAGUGGGGAAUAUUGCACGAUGGGCGGAAGCCUGAUGCAGCAACGCCGCGUGCGGGAUGACGGCCUUCGGGUUGUAAACCGCUUUCGCCUGUGACGAAGCGUGAGUGACGGUAAUGGGCAAAGAAGCACCGGCUAACUACGUG